rnacentral:rRNA from 1 species
AUUGAACGCUGGCGGCAGGCCUAACACAUGCAAGUCGAGCGGAGCGGCGGACGGGUGAGUAAUGCCUAGGAAUCUGCCUGGUAGUGGGGGAUAACGUCCGGAAACGGGCGCUAAUACCGCAUACUAUCAGAUGAGCCUAGGUCGGAUUAGCUAGUUGGUGGGGUAAAGGCCUACCAAGGCGACGAUCCGUAACUGGUCUGAGAGGAUGACCAGCCACACUGGAACUGAGACACGGGCCAGACUCCUACGGGAGGCAGCAGUGGGGAAGAGUGCACAAGGGGCGCAAGCCUGAGGCAGCCAUGCCGCGGGUAUGAAGAAGGCCUUCGGGUUGUAAAGUACUUUCAGCGGGGAGGCGUUACCCGCAGAAGAAGCACCGGCUAACUCCGUGCCAGCAGCCGCGGUAAUUC